rnacentral:rRNA from 1 species
UACGUAGGGUCCGAGCGUUGUCCGGAAUUAUUGGGCGUAAAGGGCUCGUAGGCGGUUCGUCACGUCGGGAGUGAAAACUCGGAGCUUAACUCCGAGCCUGCUUCCGAUACGGGCAGACUAGAGGUAGGCAGGGGAGAGCGGAACUCCUGGUGUAGCGGUGGAAUGCGCAGAUAUCAGGAAGAACACCGGUGGCGAAGGCGGCUCUCUGGGCCUUACCUGACGCUGAGGCGCGAAAGCUAGGGGAGCGAACGGG